AGAACGAACGCUGGCGGCAGGCUUAACACAUGCAAGUCGAACGGUUGUAGCAAUACAGCAGUGGCAGACGGGUGAGUAACACGUGGGAACCUUCCUAGGGGUACGGAACAACUCAGGGAAACUUGAGCUAAUACCGUAUACGUCCGUGAGGAGAAAGAUUCAUCGCCCCUAGACGGGCCCGCGUAGGAUUAGGGUAGUUGGUGAGGUAACGGCUCACCAAGCCUACGAUCCUUAGCUGAUCUGAGAGGAUGAUCAGCCACACUGGGACUGAGACACGGCCCAGACUCCUACGGGAGGCAGGCAGGUGGGGAAUCUUGGACAAGUGGGCGCAAGCCUGAUCCAGCCAUGCCGCGUGAGUGAAGAAGGUCCUUCGGUGUAAGCUUCGUUUACCAGGGACGAUAAUGACGGUACUGGAGAAUAACGCCCG
rnacentral:rRNA from 1 species